UACAGAGGUCUCAAGCGUUGUUCGGAUUCAUUGGGCGUAAAGGGUGCGUAGGCGGCUUGUUAAGUCAGGGGUGAAAUCCCACGGCCCAACCGUGGAACUGCCUUUGAUACUGGCGAGCUUGAGUGCGUGAGGGGUAACCGGAACGAGUAGUGUAGGCGGUGAAAUGCGUAGAUAUUACUCGGAAGGCCAAAGGCGAAGGCAGGUUACUGGUACGCAACUGACGCUGAGGUGCGAAAGCGUGGGAGCAAACAGG
rnacentral:rRNA from 1 species